ACGUUAGCGGCGGACGGGUGAGUAACACGUGGGUAACCUACCCAUAAGACUGGGAUAACUUCGGGAAACCGGAGCUAAUACCGGAUAAUAUUUCGAACCGCAUGGUUCGAUAGUGAAAGAUGGUUUUGCUAUCACUUAUAGAUGGACCUGCGCCGUAUUAGCUAGUUGGUAAGGUAACGGCUUACCAAGGCGACGAUACGUAGCCGACCUGAGAGGGUGAUCGGCCACACUGGAACUGAGACACGGUCCAGACUCCUACGGGAGGCAGCAGCC
rnacentral:rRNA from 1 species